AGUGAACGCUGGCGGCAGGCCUAACACAUGCAAGUCGAACGGCAGCACAGCAGUAGCAAUACUGUGGGUGGCGAGUGGCGGACGGUGAGGAAUACAUCGGGAUCUACCUUUUCGUGGGGGAUAACGUAGGGAAACUUACGCUAAUACCGCAUACGCCUACGGGGAAAGCGGCGGACCGCAAGGCGUCGCGCGAUGAGAUGAACCGAUGUCCGAUUAGCUAGUUGGCGGGUAAAGCCCACCAAGGCGACGAUCGGUAGCUGAUCUGAGAGGAUGAUCAGCCACACUGGAACUGAGACACGGUCCAGACUCCUACGGAGGCAGCAGUAAGGAAUAUUGCGCAAUGGACGAAAGUCUGACGCAGCGACGCCGCGUGGGGAUGAAGGUCUUCGGA
rnacentral:rRNA from 1 species